CUUGGAACUGCUCCAGUUUGCAAACUCCUCCCUUCCACCCUGAUGUUCUCUGCUUGUGUUUGCUCUGUACUGACAGCUACCAAGUGUCCAUGCUGUUGGUGAGCUGAGGGCUUUCUCUUAUGGAUGUGGGAAUAGUGAUGCUUGGAUGGGGUGCCACCGAGAUGUCAGUGUCUCUUCCCAACAGAAGAGCAGGAGCAGAUUGGAUUUGGGCUCCACUUGAUCCAACAAAGAAGCCUUGGAUUUUGAUUCACACACUUGAUAAGAAAGAAAAGAAAAAGAAGCCAGCUUUGGGAAUGAGUACCUUCCCAAUUUACGGUGAUCCAGCUCAGUGUUCCCUUUCAGCACAGGAGUGAACCACAAAUGCUUGAGCAGCAAAAAGUUUUCUUAAAAACAAAGAAAACAGACAUUCAGGCAUGAAGAAAACCACUCCAGUUGUCUUAGAAAGAAAGGACUUUGUGGCUCCAAAGGAUACUUGAGGAUUUUUUCUAAGCCUCUAGCAACUUGGUCUGCAUGAUUUAGCUGCAGUGGAAGCCUGGUGUUGCUGCACAGCCUAUUACACCUACUGAAAGUGACCCUAGCACAGUUAAUA
ensembl:lncRNA